GGCUAGAGCUAAAAGGGUCCGUGGUUGCUCUGUCGCAGGAAAGGUGACACUUGCAUGGGCAAAACCUGUCCGACACAAGUAUCACCUUUCUGAGACAGAGGAGCCUUGUCGAUCUAUUUGCCGUUCCAGUGUGCUCGUUGGCUUCAGCAUGCAUCAGAUCGAGGAUCCCAGUCGAUGGCUCACGAGUUCCUUCCACUCCUUUCAUCAGGAGACUGCAGUUUCAGAUGCUCUGGAAUGGCGAGGUAGGUGACGAUUAAACUCGUUAAUUCAGAAGCUAGAUCUCGUGAACAAUCGCCCGGCACAAGCGAUUAAAUGAGAGGUUGAUUAGGGACUUUGGUACGGAUUUCAGUGGAAAAGAAGGGUAUAUAUAUAUAUAUAUAUAUAUAUAUAUAUAAUCAAGCAUCCUAUUGAGUUUUUGUAGUUUUAAAUUUUAAAAGGAUUUUUUUUCUCAACCAGCACAUCAAUCCAAGCCCAUCAUGGACAAGUCUGUGCGGAUCACGGGCCUAAGUACGUCGAUUUAUCUGAAUCCAUCUUAAAAUAAAUUAAUAAAAUUUUAACUAAAUCUAAAUAAGACGGGUCAAUCUGAUGAACCCAAUUCAAAUGAAUGACUAUACUAAUUUAGUUAAAUUUUAGAUCCGGAUAUCUGGAUUAAAGUAAAAAAUAAUAUUAAGAUCAGAAAAAGAAAAGGCAAAUUCUUCCAUCACAUGGAAGCCUUUUACUUAGUCCGUUGACUGGUCCGUGCUCAAAAGUUAGAAUCGUCUGUGUGAAAACAAGGCCACGGCAAGUAUAAUAGUACACCACACUUUGAAAUUUAUUAAAGGGAUACUUUUUUAUAUAUAUAUAUUUUUUUGAUAAAUUUUAAAAUGCGGUGGAUGCGUCAAAUGAUAAAAUUAUCUGUUCUUAUCCUUAUAUGCAUCAAUACGAUGCUAUUUAUGUGGGCCAAGUUUAAUAUGGUUUUAUUUAACUAUAUUAACAACAUACAAUAUAAAUACAUUUUGUAGAAUCAUAUAAAAUAAAAUAAGAAAGUUCUUCGAUGAUAUGGAAGACUUUUACUGCGUUGGUUGACUUGGUCCUUCUUCCACAUCUACACUAGUGUCUCUGGCUCUUACAAAAAUGCAGCCAUUAAAUCAAAAUUCAGAACCACAUGUGUGAAAACAAGAGUUAACUUCACAUGGAUUGCUCCUCCGGUCAACGGCCGGUCAGCAUGGACGAAGAACAACAAGUCACUGUCUCGUUGUCAUCGACAAGAGGAGGAGCAAGGCGAAAAAGAUUCUCCAAUUCCUCGUCCCUUAGCUUAUGCAUAUAAAAACUCUAGAUCGUACAGACGAGUGGAAUCUAAGACCUUAAAUGAUUCUAAAAGUCAACAUUAUAGCUGUAAACAGGUAGAUCUGCGAUGACAGUCAACUGAUCGUUGAAUCCAUUCCAAUUUGGAAUUUUCCUAUAAGUUUUUCCGGCAUUAAUUGAUAAGUCGAAGACAAUCUGAUUCAAAUAUGUAUAAGAAAGGGAGAGCAGGUAAAGGAGGAGGAAUGAGAAGAGUUGAGUGUUCCAUGUCCAGGAGAGAUGACACCAGGUUCAUCUCUCAUAUCUUUAUAGGGAAGAAUGAGAAUCAGGUGUCAUCUCUUCUAGACAAGGAGCUUUAGUCCAACUAAAGCAUCAGCUAUGAAUUUCCACUGGUUUCUUAGUUUCUGAUGCACAUACAGUUUUGCAGGUCCUCUGGAAUUGACUUGUUUGAUCAUUAAUUGAUGGAUUCAUCAUAGUUUUUCUGGAGUUGGAGGUAAGAAUUGGAUUAUAAUUUCGAUACAUAGUUUUUGGAGUUGAGGAUUAGAUUUUGAAGGCUCCUUUUAAGUUUUAGAAUGAUUUGUCCAUAGGAAAAUUGAGAAAGAUACUUUUGUAGAAUUGAAUGUUUUUGUUCCUGUCGUUUAUGUGCAAUUUUCUUUUGAAAAUUCUUGCUGAAAAUAUUUUUAAAUAUUUUUUUCAAGGAAUCUGAAAUUAUGAUGAAUCAUGAUUUAAAAAUAGGGGAUUGUUUUUUUUUUUAUAUAUUUCUCUAUUUUUUUUUAAAAAAAAUUCAUUAUAAAAAAUAAAAGUCUUAGAAGCUUAGCCCAUGUUACACACACUUUAUUGAUGUAAUGAAUGAUGCCUUAUAUGUUAAAUAUAAUUAAGUUAUAGAAGAAUAUGUUUUAAGUUAUAUUUCAAUAUUUCUACAUUUCUACUGUAUUUUAAUUCUGUAUAUAAUUUUUAGUUCUGUAUUUGUUCUACAGUUUACAUCAGUAAAUCUUCCACUGCUUUUAUUUUACCUCCUCUGCGAGCUCAAACUACUGCAUAAAAAAGAGGCAUUAAAAGGAGAAAAAGAAAAGGAACAAAAAAAAAAAGGGAAAAGAAACUCUUGCCACUUGCUUCUUUUGUUCCCUGUGCAGGUCUUAAGUAGCUUUAAAGCUGUAACUUUGACCAGUCAGGAUGCAGUCUUAUACCAAGAAUUGUGAGUUAUAGAAAGAUGUGAAACAAAAGCAAAAGUUAGAAUCCACUAAUGAAAUCCAAGAAACAAACAAGAAGCCAGAAUGUUAGUUGAAUACAUAUGUUGUCUCUGCUCUUCCUGCAUCAUUUGCUUGUCCUUGUUCAGUUGUUAAUUCCUUCUUUAGCGAAUCAAGCUGCUGAUAUCUCUCUGUCAUUAAAGCAACUGCAAAAGCUCUUUGUUUCCUUCUUCUUCAAGAAUCUCGGGAGGUGUUUCUUUGGUGAGGGAAGCUUCAUCACCUUUAAUAAACUUGAUAAAGAAAAUUACUUUGGCAAAAGCAAGUGUUUUAUGGCCAAUGCUGCAGUCAAGAGAGGGCCUAUUGGCUACAUGAAUGUGUAUAUAUUCUCUAAUCCAUCUUCCAAACAGGUGAAGUUUCCAUGCUCCAGCCUCUGGUUCUCAUCAUGCUCUACCUGGAGGCCUCCCUGACUUCCCAGCUCUCCUGAGAAAAACAAAUAAAAUAAAAACAGGAAAAGGAUGGUGGUCAGGCACAUGGCAACAUUUGGCAAGGCAGUUCCUGAACUCAGGAUCAGCGCCAUUGGGAACUCUUCUCUUGCUACUGGAGAAAGGAUCCAAGUUCUUGUGAUCUGUUACUACUGACCGAGAUGUCGACGAAGGUACAGCAGGAGCAACCACAGGUGACACAACUCUUGCCCCUGCACAACGUGCUCUUGCCAUGGACACCAGGAGGGCAAUGUAGAACAAGAAUGCCAAGCCACUGCAAACGUCUCUUCUCAUCUCUGCUGUCAGCUCUUCCUCUCAAAGCCAAAUUCUGAGAGGAGGAACAAGGCAAUGGAUGCCUUAUUAGUCUGUGCAAAUUCUUAUACUGGGGGAUUUUGUUUUUCUUUUUUGGUCACCUUUAGUUUUGCUCUGGUGUCUUUUACUUUUAUCUUUGGAGUUUGGAAGUGAUUCUGUAUUGCUUUUGUGGGACUGCGAAGGGGGGGAGGACAAAAGCAAGUAGGUACUGAACGUGAAGUAUUUAUUUGGA